UACGUAGGCAGCAAGCGUUGUUCGGAGUUACUGGGCGUAAAGGGUGUGUAGGCGGCCUGUUAAGUUCCGUGUGAAAUCUCCCGGCUCAACCGGGAGGGUGCGCGGAAAACUGGCGGGCUAGAGUACGGGAUGGGAGAGUAGAAUUCCUGGUGUAGCGGUGAAAUGCGUAGAUAUCAGGAGGAAUACCGGUGGUGUAGGCGGCUCUCUGGACCGUAACUGACGCUGAGACACGAAAGCGUGGGUAGCAAACAGG
rnacentral:rRNA from 1 species